rnacentral:lncRNA from 1 species
UCUGAUUGGCUGUUUGUGUUCCAGGGGCUGAGGGGAGAUCCAGGUGAACUUGGCCUGUCAGGACCACCAGGACCUGCCGGACGUCCUGUACGCUUCAAAUCUCAAACUGUCAAACUUUAUUUUAAAAACAGCAGAAAUUCCCUAAACUCACGUCAGCUGUUUUUUUUUUGUUGUUGUUUGUUUUUAGGGAGGUCCAGGGUUGCCGGGGUUACUGGGAGAGAAGGGUCAGGAGGGGCCUAGUCCAGUGAUCCCAGGGCCCCGAGGACAGACGGGUGAUCGUGGACCUCCUGGUAUUCCUGGACAGAAAGGAAUCAAACUGUAUGCUGAAGGACCCAAAGAGCUGAAGGUCUGCCGGCCUGUCUGUCUGUCUGCCUGCCUGCCUGUCUGUCUGUCUGUCUGUCUGUCUGUCUGUCUGUCCAUCUGCCUGUCUGUGUGUCUGUCUGUCUGUCUGUCCAUCUGCCUGUCUGUCUGCCUGUCUGUCUGCCUGUCUGCCCUGUCCAUCUGCCUGUCUGCCUGUCUGUC